rnacentral:lncRNA from 1 species
CUGGGUUUAUUUAAAAAUGCUGGCCCUAUCCAUUUUAGGAGAGAGGCUAUUGCUGAAAAAUAGCUCUUGUCUUUUUCUCUUUUCUGAUGGUUAGAAUCCACAUAGUCAUGAACUGUUAAGUUUGCCCUUCAUGAAACAAAGAAUACUCAUGACGAGACGAGGAUGGCUUCUCAAUUAAAACACUUCUCCGAGUUGCGGCCUGCAAGUCAUUUUAGGAAAACCAAGCAAUUACAUUUGGUUAUAGCAGGCAGCCUGCGUCUGUCAAGCUGCAAGACUUGUCUUCCUUGUAAAUGAACUGUACAAUAAAUCAGGAACAGAAAGCUUUCCUUUGUGGAAUCAUCCCACACACUUUGGUUCUCUGCUUGGUGCACAAGGAAUAUCUUUCUUCCCUCAUCUACAAAUCAAGUUCCUAUUCUUCAAAUCCCAGCCAAAAGAUCUACUCUCCCAUCAUCAGUUCCCAAACUCCCUAA